rnacentral:rRNA from 1 species
UACGGAGGGGGCAAGCGUUGUUCGGAAUUAUUGGGCGUAAAGCGUAUGUAGGCGGUUAAAUAAGUCAGGUGUGUAAGCCCAGGGCUCAACCUUGGAAUUGCAUUUGAAACUAUUUGACUUGAGGUCAGGAGAGGAAAGCGGAAUUCCCAGUGUAGCGGUGAAAUGCAUUGAUAUUGGGAAGAACAUCGGUGGCGAAGGCGGCUUUCUGGUCUGAUUCUGACGCUGAGAUACGAAAGCUAGGGGAGCGAACGGGAUUAGAUACCCCGGUAGUCCUAGCUGUAAACGAUGGGUACUAGGUGUAGGGGGUAUCGAUCCCCUCUGUGUCGCAGCUAACGCAUUAAGUACCCCGCCUGG